CCCUUAGAUGUCCUGGGCCGCACGCGCGUUACACUGAUGCAUUCAACGAGCUUAUAACCUUGGCCGAGAGGCCUGGGCAAUCUUGUUAACGUGCAUCGUGAUAGGGAUAGAUUAUUGAAAUUAUUAAUCUUGAACGAGGAAUUCCUAGUAAACGCAGAUCAUCAAUCUGCAUUGAUUACGUCCCUGCCCUUUGUACACACCGCCCGUCGCACCUACCGAUUGGAUGGUCCGGUGAAGCCUCGGGGUUGUGGUUCUUGCCGCUUUAUUGUAGCGUGACCGCGAGAACUUGUCUAAACCUUAUCAUCUAGAGGAAGGUGAAGUCGUAACA
rnacentral:rRNA from 1 species